AAGACACUAGUAAAACGAUUACCUUGCCUUGUCGAGGCAAAAUUGUGGGUUAAACUCCCGCGUGUCUUA
rnacentral:tRNA from 5 species